rnacentral:rRNA from 1 species
GUGCUCCUCCGCCAAUUCCUGUCACGACUCCGAGGGCGAGUUGAAUGAUCUUCUUCAUCUGCCUCCGAUUGUUAGGUGCGCGAGAAGGGCAAUAACGAUGCCCUCCGUGGCGUGAACUUUGCUUUUUUCAGAGGGCAGCGGAGGCUUUGCUUCGCACAUUGCUGUUGCUUCAUUAGUGCGCCCGAAAGGGCGGGAGGCCGUAUGGCGAACGAUCGAAACAGGAAGGACCAGAGCUCAUCGGGAUCGUCGAGCUCGCGAAACCAGGAUCCGGCUAAUCCCGAUUCGGGAAUGAGUGGAUCGACCUCAUCAGGCUCAGACUCGGGCUUCGGCGACGAGAGCCUCGACUCUGAUAACCUCGGAUCGACGGGAUCAAGCGGCUCCAGCAGCGGAAGCAGAUCAGGUAGCUCAGGUAGCUCAGGUAGCUCAGGUAGCUCGGGUAGCUCGAGCAGCUCGCGCAGCUCAGGCGGAUCUGAUCGCGGAAGCGGAUCUGGCGGAUCGCGUUAAGCCAUUCGACAUGACAAAAGGUGCACCUUGCGGGGUGCACCUUUUUUUGUCUAUGUUUCGAGAGUCAUUCGCCGUUUCUGCUCGCUGCGUCCCGAACUCUCGGCGAGAAUAUUUGUCAGAGUUUCCAGAUGUCUGGCGAGGUCUUUCACUUCGCUUCGCGGCAUGCUGCGCAGCGCAGCAGUCAACCUGUCCUCUCGUCCCUUUGGGGAUUUCCGCAGCAGCGCACGUCCGGCAGGAUCAACCGGAG